CCUACGGGAGGCAGCAGUGGGGAAUCUUGCGCAAUGGGCGAAAGCCUGACGCAGCAACGCCGCGUGGGGGAUGAAGGCCUUCGGGUUGUAAACCCCUUUCAGCAGGGACGCGGUACCUGCAGAAGAAGCCCCGGCCAACUACGUGCCAGCAGCCGCGGUAAUACGUAGGGGGCGAGCGUUGUCCGGAUUUAUUGGGCGUAAAGAGCUCGUAGGCGGCUUGGCAAGUCGGGUGUGAAACCUCCAGGCUCAACCUGGAGACGCCACUCGAUACUGCCAGGCUAGAGUCCGGUAGGGGACCACGGAAUUCCUGGUGUAGCGGUGAAAUGCGCAGAUAUCAGGAGGAACACCGGUGGCGAAGGCGGUGGUCUGGGCCGGACUGACGCUGAGGAGCGAAAGCGUGGGUAGCAAACAGGAUUAGAUACCCUUGUAGUC
rnacentral:rRNA from 1 species